rnacentral:misc_RNA from 1 species
UCCAGCGUGUGCAGUGCACCGCGG